rnacentral:tRNA from 1 species
AUUUAUAUAGUAUAUAUCUUCAUUACAUUUAAUUUCCAAUUAAAAAAAUUAAACUUUUUAAUAUAAAUA